UCAGCUUGGACCUGUGACCUCUGGGCUUCCCUUUGUCAUCCUUUGCCUAGGCCUCUGAGUGGGGCAAGGACAGCAAAGGGGGGCUCAGUGGUCACCUCUACU
rnacentral:pre_miRNA from 14 species